rnacentral:lncRNA from 1 species
GGCGCUUUGCCGCUGAGCUAAAUCCCCAGCCCCUAGCUAAAUCCCCAGCCCCUCCCCUGGAGACACUUUCGCAGUAGACAGGCCACAGGCAGAGGAGGGGCCUCCUCAGGGAGGGGCAGGAGCUGAGCCCUGCCUGUGCAUUUAUUUUGCUUCUGCCUCGUCCUCGCUGGGCUGAGUGACUUGCUGGGCUACCUGUUUCCCAGUGUGACACCCACCAGCCUGCUGGCGGUUUUUGGGCCCUGCUGGUGAUAGAAGUCCUUUAGACUCCCCUCCCUCCUGUUUGCCUUUGCUCACACCCUUUUUUUUUUUUUUCCAUUUGGGGAACUAUUUGGAUGGGGUGAAAAUUUAGGGACGGCCAGAAUGACAAAAAUAAAUGAUCUGUGAUAACCUGGGGCCUCCAGGGCCCCCCGCCCCGUGCCAGCUGCCGCUGCGGGGUGGACAGGGAUCUGCAGUCCGGGUAACAGGGCCUGGCCAUGUCGCCCUUCGGAAGCCUGUUCCCUUACCCCUACACCUACAUGGCCGCUGCAGCUGCCGCGUCCUCGGCCGCCGCCUCCAGCUCGGUGCACCGCCACCCCUUCCUCAGCCUGAACAGCAUGCGCCCGCGGCUGCGCUACAGCCCCUACUCCAUCCCCGUGCCGGUCCCCGACGGCGGCGGCCUCCUCAGCUCCGCGCUGCCCGCCAUGGCCGCGGGGCCCCUGGACGCCAAAGCCGCCGCGCUGGCCGCCAGCCCCGCCUCGGUCGCCGCCGUGGACUCGGGCUCGGAGCUGAACAGCCGCUCCUCCACGCUGUCCUCCAGCUCCGUGUCCCUGUCGCCCAAACUCUGCUCGGAGAAAGAGGCGGCCACCAGCGAACUGCAGAGCAUCCAGCGGCUGGUCAGCGGCUUGGAAGCCAAGCCCGAGAGGUCCCGCAGCGGGUCCCCCUAGACCCGUGCCCAGCGGCGUCUUCAUUCCAGCCCGAUGAGUCUGCAGUGCACUUUGUUUUGGAUGUCACACAAACCCCAGGGCCGGCUGUGGGCUUCCCCCUCGCUUUGGGGCCGGCGUCUGGGGAGGGGCGCCGGACUCCCUGCAGAGCACGGGAGGCCAGGCCCUGUCUUCUCAGUGUGGUCUAUGUACCCCGAUCUGGCUCACGGCAUUGUGGGGCUCGGAAGCGGCUGAUGCAUUGAGCGGUGGAAUGGGGGGGCUGAGAGGAAUUUUAUUCCAGAACUACUUCCAUGGAGGCUGCUCUGGAAGCCGUGACAGAAGAAGAAAGGUAGCCAGGCCCACCCGGGAGGAGGGGGAGGUGUUGAAAGCUAUCUUCCCUCCGCAAGGAUUUAUAUAUAAAUAUAUUUUUUUUCCUUGGCUCUCUCAAGUGGAAACAAAAAUUAAAAAAAAAUUUUUCUAACAGGGACACAUGAAUACAUGAACAUGAUUCUGUUGGUGAAGAUGGAAACCUCUGUAGAGAGUGACUUUGGAGAAUCAGUUCUCAGUAAAUUGCUGGGCGGUGAUGUCGGGGCGGCAGGUCCUUAGCAUUCUUGUUUAAUCUAUUAUUAAGGAAAUCUGUGUCUUUUUAAUAUUCUUGUGAUGUUUUAAGAGCCGCUGUAGGUCUCUUCCUGCAUGUUCCACAGUCAUGUAUUUGUGGGUUUUUAUUUUGGACGCUUGCUUUUAGAGAGAACGACCUAACCCCAUCCCCUUCCUUAUCGUGUGCCUCUCAACCCCAGAGAAAUGGGCUAGGGGGGCUUCCAGGGAAGGGGUUGGGAAAACAACGGAAUUUAUUUUAUCUAAGCUCUGUAGCAGGAUUCAUGUUCCUCUUUGGCAGUGCGUUCUCUUUCCUGUAUAUGCAAUAAACAAGGUUUAAAAAAAAAAUAAAGAAGAAGCGAGACUAUUAGACAAAGUAUUUAUGUAAUUAUUCGAUAACUCCUGUAAAUACGUGGAAUAUGAAUGCUCGGAAAAUUAAACUUUUAAUUUAUUGACAAUUGUACAUAGCUCUAUGUAAAUAGGAUCGCAACUGUCAGGUUUUGUUCUUGUUUUCCUUUAGUUGGUUUUUAUUUCCAGGUCAAAGGAUUGCCGUUCACAGUAAGAGACAGACUUCCUUAGGAACACCUACACACUUUCAGAAAGCGCUGUCUGCAAAAUUAUUUUUCUUCUUUUUUUCACGUCCAGGAGUGCAGGGAAAGUGCCGUUUCCUAUUUUAGCCAAAACUGGGGGUGGGGGUGACACUUCCCGUCUCCACAUUAAAUUCCUUAAGAUCUGACACCCGGGCCGGGCCGGGGUCUGAGAUUGCUGUGGGAAGGGGGCUGUGGUUUGACUUCCUAAUUUUUCUUUCUAUUUGUAUUUGCUGGUCUCUGGUUUCUCAAAACAAGUGGGGUUGACCGCUAUUCUCAACCGGAUGGCGUUUUGAGUUGGUGCCUAGAGAGAAUCACAGUUCAAAAGUUAGGUGCUCAGAGCUGGUUUGGAAAGAGAAAAACCCAUGCAGCUUCUUUUUUGUGUUUUAGCUGUUGAUGAGUCCUUUGGUUUUCUGUGUCCCCCCUCCCCUUUAAAACAUCACUGAAAUUUCAAUAAAUUUUUAUUGAAAUACCUUUGGGCCUCGUGUUAAAUGCUUAUUUGACAGCUCUCCAGGAAGGCGGAGAGCAGAAAAGGACUUGGGUCUCUUCUCUCGUCGCCGGCCUCCCUCCCUUCGCCUUUAAAUAAUUGAGACCGCCCCCAGCGAAGCAAAAUGACUUGUCACUCAAAUUACAAAGCUAAAAACAAAAGUCCCUGACUCCAGCGAAGGGGGCCGCUCCAAUAUGAAAACACUUUUACUUUAAAUUAGGCAGCAAAACCGGAGACAAGUGGGACCUGAUUAGAAUUUGGAAACAACAGUGGUUUCAGAUACUUCAAUAGUAAUAGAAAAAGUUUUGCCGUGGUCCCUAAGCCAGCCUCUCCUCCCCCCACAGGAAUCCAACCAAAAAUAAGCUUGAGCACUAGGAAGGUCUUUUCGUUUUAAACUGGUGCUCUCUUUUGACUUGGAUCUAGGGAAUCCAAGGCAAAGACUGCACGGUACACUUGCCCGGGGAAGAGGGUCACAAUCCCUGCGCAGGCAGACCCGGGUUGGCCUGGUGGUGCCCUCCGGGCUUCUGGGCUGCAUACCCCGGCCAUCCAGGCGUCUCCGAGGGGACCAGGCUGGCCCCAGGCGCUCGGGCCAGGCCGCGCCCACUCGUGUGCUCUGUGCAAACGCCGAGUGCCACGCGAGGGAGGAGGGACGUGUCCCUUGCAAAGGAAAGGUAAUUGCAGGGAGCACAUUUGACCAACCUCCACCAAAGGAGAAGCCGCCCAGGAGACUGGCACCGUCUCUGACGCUCCCCUUCGCUCCCCUUCAUCCAGUCUCCGGCAGCGCGGGGAGUGGGCUUCGGAAGUUCAAUCUGUCUUUGAAGUAGUCCAUCAAACGUGGUGGGGCCGGGUCAGUCUUGCAGUCUCCCAACCCUACUUUGCAUGGAGGUGUGCGUGUGUCUUGGGGUGCGGGGUGCAACACGGGAAGGUCAAGCCUAAGCUUUGCUCCUCCGGGGGCUUUGAUGCAAAGACCCAGCCAGAGCCUGCCAGGGGUCUGACUCCCUUACCCCCACCCCCACCCGGAGCCUGCCAGCCAGGCCCCAAGCCCCUGUCACCUUCAGGCCUCUUGAACGGGCAGCGAGGAGGGAUCCCCCUCCCCAGCCUCAUCCUGUGCUUGGAAGAGGAUCCAGGUCGAGACCUUUCGGAGAGGGGGCAAAGCCAGACACGUGGGGGACCCACACAGCCUCUCCUGCAGGGUCUGCCGGGAUCAGAGGGGAGACGGCCGGCCACCGGCUCGGGGACGUUUGGGGCCAGAGCUCCCCGGAGUGUACUGAGACUGCAGGGCACGCGCCAUGGGCACUGCAGCGGCUGCCGAGUGGAGCCGGGGUUUGUGCCCAGCGAGAACGCGAGCUGGCCCCGGGGGGAAAAGGUGGGAGUGGCGGGCUGCGUCCAGCUGCGUGCUUCCAAAUUGGGGAGAAAAUAACUGGGCUUCCAAGAAGGACAAAACAAAAGUUGUCUUUUUUUUUUUCUUUUCUUUUCUUUCUCAGUCCACAUUUAGACACCUCUUCCCUGCCCCGUCCCCCAGUUUGGGAGCAGUGCUUCAAGGUGGGUCCUGCCUGCCCUACAUGCUGCCUUUGCUUCCUUCUUUUCUUUCUAAUCUCCUGGGUAUCUUAUUUGUAUAUAGCGACGUUAAUGAGUAACUCUUGUGGCGCUGAUGGACGGGGGAGGGCGGGCGGCGAGUGGCUUGCAAUCUCUGGAUUUCGUAGCCUAUUACUCACCUGGCGCCGGUCGCAAUCUCGCCGCGGGCUUUAUGGUGGCUGCGGCGGCCGCCGAGGCCACUCGGGGCCGGCGCCUGGGCCUUUUUUCCCAGGCUUCGAGUGCCACCUAUCUGUCUGCUCCACCAGUGCGCCCCGGUGGCUGCGUCCAGCCGGCUCCCCAGCGCCUGGCGGGAUCCAGAUCGCGGGCGCGGCGUCUGUGCCCCAUUCUCCUCCCCACCACCCCAGCCCCAGCCUCGCACCGCUUCUUUCCUGGACAUCACUUUAAUUCCCGUGUGGGCCUCAGAUCAGAGAAACAACCCUCUCUUCUGGGAGUCCAAAGAAUGCUCGGAAAUUCAGCAUGAGAGCCGUCGCUCCUAAUUCCCUCUCCAAAUACUUGGCCGUUCCACCCAGAAAUCUGUGGACCCGCAUUUGGGGUGGGCAGAUAGUGCCCCACCCUUCCAAGCUCCAGCCCUACCUGGGGGCAACGCCCCUUCACUCCACGCUCCCUUUUUUAAAUUUAUAAUGCCGCAAAUUUUCAUUUUUAAAGUCCUGCUGCAUCUACAGGGACACGAGCCACGGCUCGGGUGCUGGUCAGCUACCAGCCUGCUGGGCCCAGCGACCUGGAGACUUGCAGAUGGAAGGCGACCAACGAGGGUGGGUGCCCUCCGAGCCCCCGCCCGCCCGUCCUGUCCCCUGCACAGCGGCGGCUCCAAGCCCGGCUGCGCCCUGGCGGCGUCUGGGACUUGG